CAGUAGCCGCGGGAAUACGAAGGGGGCUAGCGUUGUUCGGAAUUACUGGGCGUAAAGCGUGCGCAGGCGGUUCGUUAAGACAGAUGUGAAAUCCCCGGGCUUAACCUGGGAACUGCAUUUGUGACUGGCGAGCUAGAGUAUGGCAGAGGGGGGUAGAAUUCCACGUGUAGCAGUGAAAUGCGUAGAGAUGUGGAGGAAUACCGAUGGCGAAGGCAGCCCCCUGGGCCAAUACUGACGCUCAUGCACGAAAGCGUGGGGAGCAAACAGGAUUAGAUACCCCAGUAGUCCCUGUCUCUUAUAC
rnacentral:rRNA from 1 species